UACGUAGGGGGCAAGCGUUGUCCGGAUUUAUUGGGCGUAAAGAGCGUGUAGGCGGCUAGGUAGGUCCGUUGUGAAAACUCGAGGCUCAACUUCGAGACGCCGGUGGAAACCAUCAGACUAGAGUCCGGAAGAGGAGAGUGGAAUUCCUGGUGUAGCGGUGAAAUGCGCAGAUAUCAGGAAGAACACCCGUGGCUAAGGCGGCUCUCUAGUACGGUACUGACGCUGAGACGCGAAAGCGUGGGGAGCGAACAGG
rnacentral:rRNA from 1 species